rnacentral:rRNA from 1 species
AUACGGAGGAUCCAAGCGUUAUCCGGAUUUAUUGGGUUUAAAGGGUGCGCAGGCGGGAGAUUAAGUCGGCGGUGAAAUUUUGCAGCUCAACUAUAAAAGUGCCUUCGAAACUGGUUUCCUUGAGUGUAGAUGAAGUAGGCGGAAUUUGUGGCGUAGCGGUGAAAUGCAUAGAUAUCACGAGGAACUCCGAUUGCGCAGGCAGCUUACUAAACUACUACUGACGCUCAGGCACGAAGGCGUGGGGAUCAAACAGGAUUAGAUACCCUGGUAGUCCACGCAGUAAACGAUGAUUACUAGCUGUUUGCGAUACAAUGUAAGCGGCUGAGCGAAAGCGUUAAGUAAUCCACCUGGGGAGUACGUUCGCAAGAAUGAAACUCAAAUGAAUUGACGGGG